rnacentral:tRNA from 1 species
GGGCCCGUAGCCUAGCACGGAUCAGGGCAUCGGCCUCCGAAGCCGAGGGUCGAGAGUUCAAAUCUCUCCGGGCCCGCCA